GGGGCUGCCUGGAAUAUAAAAGACCAGUCAAGGCAGGGCACCCCUGGGAGGAGAGAGAAGAUGAAGCUGCCUCCCCCUCUCCUCCUAGGCCAGCUGUCAUGUGGUGCAGUUGUCAGAUAAGUCAGGCCUAUGUGAAGGGUUUGACAGCAAAGCACUGCCUCCCUCCCCACCACCGGGAGGUUAUUGAAUAACAACAGGCCAGGAAAUCUGGCCAAAGCAUCCAACUGAUGCAAGAUGACCUGGAGAAUGACUCCUCCCUGGAGAAGACUACGGGAGGAAGGAGGAAAAACAUCACAGAAAUCACCAAGAUGCAGUAUCCUUUCCACAAGUCUUCAUUUUACAACUCAUUGCCAGAACUGGGUCACAAGCCUACCUUAAACAAACCACCA